rnacentral:misc_RNA from 1 species
GCAAACUUGGUCAUUUAGAGGAAGUAAAAGUCGUAACAAGGUCUCCGUUGGUGAACCAGCGGAGGGAUCAUUAUCGAGUUACAGAACUCCCAAAACCAUGUGAACCCUACCAUCGUUGCUUCGGCGGUCUCGUCCCGGGUGCACCUCUCUCCAGGUGUGGUCCGGAUCCAGACGUCCGCCGAGGGACCUCAACUCUUGUAUUUUUCAGUGGAAUUCUGAGUGGCAUAAGCAAAAUAAUCAAAACUUUCAACAACGGAUCUCUUGGUUCUGGCAUCGAUGAAGAACGCAGC